UUUUGCAGUUCCUUCCCAACCACACAGUUCUUGUUGCUGCUCCCCAUCACAAGCCCUUUGCCUUAUGAGGAUAUUGAUGCCCUGCCUCUGGUUCUUAUCAGGUCUUUUCCUAUGGCCAUCCCAAUCUAUGAGGUCUUCUGUGGAUACCUGUGAAAUUCAGCCUCCCUCUAGAAUGUGAUCUGAUGGCCCAUGAGCUCAGCUUUCAGGUGAACGGUAUCUUGUCAGACAUGCACCUUGUAUCCUGUUUUGCAAAGACCCCUUGGAGCUCAGUCCACUGAUGGAACCCACAUAGCUGAUGGGGGGUUGAGAGCAGGAUCUUCCACCACACAGCAGGCCUUUUAAUUUAUUAUCUUGAAGUCUGCAGAAGAUGGCAGAAAUCCAGCAUGAGGAGUUCUGCCAUGCAGAGGUGGGGCUGCUGGUGUGACCAGGGUAUUAUUUUUCUUUCUUUUUGGCCAGAGGUAUGCAGUCCAGUUUUAAUCCUUCCUGAUCUCCGGUGUCCCACCUUGUGCUCGUUAGAUGGGAGAGAAGCUGCAGGUUCUGAGAUGUAAUCCUGCACAAUCAUAUACUUUGUCUAUUUUUGCUUAUUGCUUUGAAACAAAAUGAAGAUGGCGAUGCUAGAAUAAUACAAAUGGGCAGAGCUGAAGAGCUACCAAUUCUUAGCUCACAUAUAUUUUUACAUUUUUUUUUUCUUUCUUUCUUUUGCUGUGUUAAGUGACUCAGAGCCACGGCCAGGAAGGAGGAGGCCCAUGACAGCAGCUGUUUUGGCAAAGCACAGAUCACUCAGCACAGCUGUGGUUGACUCUGUGCCCCACUCUCUGCACUUACACCCCACAGCCUUCUGUCUCAUUAGCUUUGCUCAGCCUGCCGACUGCAGCACAUUGUAAAUGGUGCAUGAGAUUAAAUACUGCUACCCACCUGGUGGAUGCUGCCAUCUGUGCUCUUAGUUAGGAUGCUGAAUUCGGGACAGAGAGGCCCAAAAGAACCUCUGUUGGAGAAUGCAGAGAGGAAGAUUGCUCUGCAGUUGUUUCUAUUGGAAGGGCAUGGCAGCAUUCUUUCUGAGGUCUUGUACAACUCUUCUGAACAAUGGUGAGUGCCUCACCCAGCAUCCUAAGAGAUGGCUUUCUCUAGGCUUUAAAUAGCAAAGAAAUGUAACUAUAAACACUGCAAUCUAUAUUUCUAUCUAUCCUGUUACCUGCAUUGAGCUAUGAGUGCCUUUGUAUGUUUUCUUGUGUUGUCAGUCUUUCCAGCUUCAACUUGGUUGAAAUUGCAAAGAGUUUGAUAAUAAAACCCUGCACCUCACCUAUGAGUGGUGUGAUUUGACAAACAAACAGACCUGAAAUUACUGCUAGGCUCUCUUUUUGGUUACUUUAGGGAACAGUGAUUUAGAACUUCAAAGAAAAAGAGAGAAAAUGUGUGAUUUUUAUGAAUGAAUAAAACAAGCAGGAUGGUGUAUCUUUGUGGACACAAUUGGAACCAAUUCUAAAGAAAAAUCAAGAGUAGAUUUGCAGUUGAGCAGGAAGCUGAAGCAUGAAAUAGCCCUCAGUCUUCCUUACUUCCUUCCUUACAUAUCGAGCUGUGUGUUUUUACCUGGGCUAUCUAAGGUCAAGAAUCAUCACUUCAGAAGCAGUGACAUAUCUACCAGCUUGAGCCUGCUUACUGCUGAAGUAGACUUCAAGUGUAAAUGAGAACACCUUGGCACUGUGACUCUGAGCAAAGGGGAGGCCAUGACCGAGCCUGAGGCUGCCAGUGUCUGGGGAAGAGGAAGGUCACCGGAGGGUUGGCUGGACCUGAAAUUUGAACACAGUCUAUGUGUGGAUUCAACAGAGAAAAGGUCAAGAAGACCAUGUUCCAGUGAGGGCUUGAGCACAGAGCCCAGCAACGUCCAGGCCAGAGCAAGAUGACAACUCCAUGACACAGCGCAGACCUGGGACCUGCUCUUAGCAUGCUGUAUCUUUCAGGUAGGAGGAGACUUAUGACGACAUUAGGCAGCACUAAUCAUUUUGCUCAUUCUGAGAUACUGUACUACAUCGGAUGCUGGGUGGGCUCUUUUGAGAGCAAUCUAAGUUCUUAAAAACUAUUCUGUUCCAGUAAGUGGGGGAAACAGAGCUUUGGCCCAAGUGAUUCAAAUGCCAUAGGUGUGUUGGCAACAGCUAAUGAGGUAGGAUCAGCUAAAACAAAGGUUGCUGUGUGUUUGGUUACAGUUACUCAAGUCUGAAGAGAAAAAUCAAUGCUGGGCUGAAAUAUCGGCUGUCAGGCUCUAUACAUACAGAGGCUGCAGAGAGUUGGGCAGAGGAGAGAUGGAUGGGAGUUGUCAGCUUCUAGCUCCUCCAGAACCUCCCACAUCAGAGGCAGUGUGCUGCACAGAGUAGAAAAAUGAGGAAAUCCAUCAAUUAUUUUCUUCCGACACAGUGCAGGAGUACAGCUGCAACAUUCAUCAAACAUUUUCUCAUCGGAUGAAUUAAUGGAAGUCUCCAGACUGUUCCUCUUCAGCAUGUCAAGUGUUUUGAAGUCCCCUAAAUACAAAUAGAAGGAAACCUUUGUUUAGUGUAAAACUGAACGUGUUUACUGUGACAUAACAUCAGAAAAAUAAAACAAUAAAGGGAGAACAAGCAUUAUUACUAGGCUCACCUCUGUGGAGGUGAGAGGGCAGAAGUCUCCCAUGUCUCACAGGCACCCCCAUUGCCAUAAUUUUUCCCUCUAAAGUCUCCAUUUUGGUGACCUGAGACACCUUUCCCUUCUGCCCAAUGCACUGUGCAGAUGUAGCCUGAAAUUGCCAUGCCAUGUCCGUGCCAUUGGCUUGUGUACAGCCUCUUGCCAUUGGCAAGAAUUAAAUGUUGCAAAUAUGUGCCUGACCCACCACAGCCUUGGAGCCUGCAGAUUGGCUUUUUACGAAACUCUUGGGACAUCAAGAACUACUGGGAAAAAUGAGUUGCCUGGAGGUUCAUCACAGCUGCAGAGCAACCAGAGUGAGAUGAACGAGACACUGAGAUCCCAACAUUUUCCCUUCCUCCUGUAGCUCUUCCACGUGCUUCACUGCCUAUGUGGCAGAUGUGGAAACUGUACUGAGAAGAGCUUAUGAACAGAAAAGGGGAUGUGUACUCAUAGGUGAAGUAAAGCAGGAAAAAAUGAGAAGAAGAGCAGCUCCAGAAUACAAGUUUGCCGGUAAAGUCAGCUGUGGUCUUCUCACAUUACUGUUGGCUUCAUUCAGGAUAAUUUUUGCUAGAGGGUGUCUUAAUUCCUGGUAGGUGAGAAUGACUUUUUUUGUAAAUCUCUGUGAGAAACUAUAGAAGCUCUGGUUUGCCCUAAUAUCAUGUUGGUUUCUUGGUUUGCACAACUUUGCAUAGCAGCGAUGUCCCACAGCGAGCUGCAGGUUGUACAAGAUGUGAUUCGAAUUUCAUGGACGUUGUUUUGUUCUCUAUUUUGAUCAGUUUCUGCCAUCUCCCUCUUUGUCUUCUUUUUGAAAACCAUAUGGCUUCUCAGUCUCUUCUCAUAGGAAAAGUGUCUUGCUAUUGCCUUUUGUUUUCCUUUUUCCUACUGUUUUUGGGACAUACCUCAUAGCUGUGAGUCAUCUCUGGGCUCUGCCAAGUUCUCACACAUCCUUCAGGACCCACGUUUGUCAAACGCAGAAACAGUCGUGAGCAGCACACAGGGCUCACAUUUACAUUUAGCUGGAAGUGGGAUGGAAGGCGUGUUUUGCCUGGAAGAAGAAAAGGCCAGACAAGUCAUCGGGCUGGGGGAGGCACUGGUGAGUUGUCAAGAACAUCCUGGGAAAGGAAGGAGGAUUUUGAGGAAAGAAGAAAAUCGGCAUUUUACGUUUUUCAGCAUUGAAAGUACUCUCUCUGUAUGUGCUUUCUGAACAGGAAGAGAAGACAGCAUAAUCAGCUUCAGUAAAUGGGAAUCACACGGGCAGAUCACUGCCCCUCCAAGGAUUCCCUUUCUUGGCUCUGUUAAUGCACAAAACAGGAGCACUUUGACCACCUUGCACUGUCAGUGAACAGCACAGUGAACCAUCCACCUCAAAUCACAUCUGAAGCAUAGGCUUAAAGUGAGUGACAUUAUGCAUAUUCCUGACAAGUCUCCAUUAAUUCCCCCGUGAAGCCUCCAUUUUAAUUAAAUUUGUAAGCCACAUUAGUCUUACAGUCACUGGGUUCAAACAGUAAUCACUGACUUUGCUAUUUAUUAUGCAGUAAAGGCUAUACUGAGGGGGAAAUAAAUUGCAUGGGCCCUUUGAGUUACAAAUAAAGAGAAGCUGCUGAAGACAGUGGUAGGCACACACAAACACAGAGCAUGGAGCAGAGCAGGACAGGAGCCCAGCUCUA